GUGUGGGCUUGUGCGUAUUCGAGGCGUUCUUGUAUGACGUGUUCCAGGGUAGGCGACUGCCAGUCUUCGCUUUUGGGGGCAUUCGGGUGUGGAUGUAUCUGUACCAAGAGUGGUGUCAAG
rnacentral:ribozyme from 1 species